GUCGAGCGGACAGAUGGGAGCUUGCUCCCUGAUGUUAGCGGCGGACGGGUGAGUAACACGUGGGUAACCUGCCUGUAAGACUGGGAUAACUCCGGGAAACCGGGGCUAAUACCGGAUGGUUGUUUGAACCGCAUGGUUCAAACAUAAAAGGUGGCUUCGGCUACCACUUACAGAUGGACCCGCGGCGCAU
rnacentral:rRNA from 1 species